AUAUAAAAAUCACAUAUAAUUCUCCUUUCCAUUGACUAUUGAUAUGUGGAAAUUUUGUGAUAGAAAUCAUUCUGUCUCUAGAGUCUUCAUUUGGAAGAAAAAAGAUGGGAAAAUUUACCUCUGGUCUUUUGGACACUUUUAGCCUAAUGAGUUUGAGGGAAGGAGGGACAAUGAGAGAGAUGAGAAAUUUAUGAGAAUAAGAGGGACAAAAUUUGUGUAUCAGGUGAACUUCAGUUAUUCGGGCCAGCAUCUUGGGUGAUUUUGCAAAAGUGAUUUGUUGGAAAAAUGAGUUUGUUACAGGCAGAGCAAGAGCCCUUCCCUGACUCGUGAAGACGUUGUGUGAUGGCUUCUGCAUCAAUGGCCCGGCAGCUGUCCCUGCAGCCCCAUUUUGCAGGGGGAAGCAGGGACAGCAUGGUGAGAGGGAGCCGGGAAACUGGUUGGGAGGAAGUAGGCCUGAGGGUUUGAACCCUCAGCAACAUUACCAUUAGCUUCUCCUCGAUCCUCAGUUAGAGCCCCAUUUCAGGGGAGAUGGUGGUGCGGAGUGCGGAGGGGAGGGGCUCCCCCUUCUCCCUUCCUCCCCUUUCCCUUUCUGACCUCCCCUCCCUCCCUCUCUCUCCUUUUCUAUCGUCUUCCUUUUCUCCCGUUUAGUCAACCAGCUUCUCAACAAUCCAGGACUCCCUCCUGUCCCCCAGGCUAGGCAGUCUGUCCCGCUUCCUCUGGAAUUUGUUUUCCACCAGCCAUCCUGGGAUAUUCCUGCCUCACUAUUUCCUCUGCACCCCAACUGAGCCAAUCCCAGGCAGAUGGACAAAAUGGUGGUGCAGGAGAACCUCCCUGGCUCAUGAAGGAGUCCUGUGAUUGUGUCUGAGUCUCUGGCCUGGCAGCUGUCCCGGCAGCCCCAUUUUGCAGGGGGGCAGCUGGGACAGCCUGGUGAGAGGGAACUGGGGAAACUGGGGGCUAGGAGGUGGAAAUUUCGACGUUUAUCCUGUUGGCAUUACCACUCGGUGCCCCCUAGGUCUCGGUGAGAGCCACAAUGCAGGGGGCACGGUGGCAGUGGAGGGAGGAAAGGGAAGGGGCGAAUCAAUGGCGGGGGUCUUCUGUUUCUCCCCUCUUUUCCUCUUUCUAUUGAGCCAAUGUCGUCACCUCACCUCCCUAACUCUUAAUCUGUUUUUAUCUAUCCCCUUCCUUAUCCUUCCCCACCACCUCCACAACAAUACUCCUAGUCAAACAGUCCCCCCAUGUUCUAGGCCACGAUCCCCAGAACUCUCCAUAUGGUCCAGCUUCCUCUGGAAUUCACCAGCCUGCAGACAGACAUCUCAGACACGAUUGACUCUUCCUUGGCACCACGGCCCAGGGGAGGAUAUGGCAAAGAAACCCGAUUUCAAGGAAAAAAUGGACGUGCCUGAGGAAGUACCCUGAGGGGAAUCCGGGGAGACAGCGCAGGACCCCCAGGAGGAAGCAGAUCGGAGGGGAAAUCCAGGAGAAUUGAGGACACCAAAACAUAUGGAGAGGAGACAAGGAACUGACUGCCUGACAAAAGAAAAAAAUGAGUAUCUCAAAUUGUUUCUGGUGUGGGAGGAAAUCCUUAUAUCGUUCUAACCAAAUGAAUCUUUAUAAAAGCCCAGUUCCUAGCCAUUAGCACGUUUUACCUGCGGUAUCUUUGUCUCAGACUUACUAAUCUAAGACAUUGGAGAAGAAAAUGAACUAACAAUUUCCUCACAUAAUAUUUACUCAAUCCAUUUUCAGCGGAAAGAACUUGAGUAAGUAUUGCUUUUGCACUUUAAAACUUGAGUCAGGGAAAGAGAGGAGAUGUAAUCAGCCUAAAUAUCUUGGCCAGUAAUUUCAUAGAGGACAGACAGAAUGGAGUUUGGUAGAAAAUAAUUAAAUAGGACAUUAACAUUAGGUCAAAAGGAGCCUUAGUGUAAAUUUCCAAAGGAAAUUUACUUUAUAUCCCCGUAAACCUCCGAUAGAGUUCCGUAGCAUAAACCGCUGUGAUUUUCAAGAGUUCUCUCCCCUGACUAUUGGUUUGGGUGACUGUUGUGAGGAUUUUGAUCAGACGAGGGGAAAGCAAAUAACUUGUGACACAGCGGCAAUCGUAUAAUAACGCUUAUUUGAAACGGAUUUGGAGUAGGGCUCUCCACCUGCUUUAGUCUAGGAAAGUGAAGGAGUGGCUCUGCUCUCAAACCCAGUUUGGUUUUUUUUCAGAAACCUGAACUACCCACAUCGCCUGCCGUUGACAAGGGAAGUGGAGAUGUCAGCCGUGGGUGGGCGAGGUGGGCCAGAUGGAGAGAUGCCAGGUGC